ensembl:lincRNA
UUCCAUUGGUAUGUUUGAUUUACAAGCUUCCUAAACCAGUUGCCUCUUUGAUUUCAGGUGCACCUCAAGGCUAGAAGCAUACCGUAUGUACAGUACUUCAUUUUAUUCUUCUGACAGAAAAAAAAAAGAUAAACAACAGAGGAUCCAGCUCUGUACGAGCCACAGUGGGUUCACACGGCACACAUUUCUGGGGAAAUGGAAAUGAGAUCAUGGCAGAGAUUGGGCUCAUGAAAGGAGCGGGACUCUCGGAGAGAUGAUGACAGAGGCGGCAGGUUCCACUCUGAAGUGUAAACACUGCCUUUCAAGUGCUUCCACACACGGAGACGGCGCUGCUCCGUCCCAGCCCGGCUCGGCCCCUCGCUGAGAGACAGGCGCACACCUGAAAGCAGGGACGAAAUAAAGGCUGAUUGUUUUUCAGUGGCCUGCGCCAGCACUAGAAACCCUACACUCCCUCUACUCCGCUAGUCCUCUUGUUUACACUGCGCCCCCAGAGCUCUGGCACGGCUGUGGCGCUGGGGCCAGGCGAGGACCUCUGGUGUGCGAGGUCACUGUUGUUUUCCUUCUCUAGCACGCGAAGCGAGAGAGCGGCACUGGUUUCUGUGGAGAAACUCCUCCCUCCCAGGAGCUGUGAGAACGGAUCUCUUUUUCCAUGCCGCUGGCAGCCGAGGAGCCAGCAUUUUCUUAAAAUCUCUUCGAUAGAUGUGCAAAGUGAGAGGAAAACAAGGAGACAGUGAUGGGUGAAUGGAAGAGGUACACUACUAAAUAAAAGCAAACCACGUGGUGUCACCCAGGCCAAGACUGCUCAACGGACAAGGCCACAGGCACCACCUACCACUGGUCUGUACACCGACAGGGGAGCAGUGGAAAGGAUGUGGAAGUACUUUUAAACCUGGUAGAGGAGGGACUUCAUCUUAUACAAAGGGCUGUGGGAUUCUAGACCAAGCUGUGUAGCAAUGUUGUUGGAGCCUGCAACCCUGGUUUCUUUCAAGACAGGGAGGUGAAAUACUUGAAUCUGUAAAUUUUAAUCUACUUGUAUACAGAUUGCAAUCAAAGAACACAAUGCCUGAGAAUCUCUUAUUGAAAUGCACUCUCUUUUAUAUAAAAAGUCUAAACUUUCAAUCAAAAAAUUUCAUGAACUAUUAAAUGCAGGUGGGUGCAGGCUUUUCCUAUCUUUCUUUGAUAGCUAGCAGCUUCGCAAGCAAUAAAAUCCCAAUAGAGUUUUUAAUUGUGUGAAUAUUAAGAGCACUGUAUAAUUGCAUGUGUAAUCAUUUUUUUUAGAAACUUGUAUUUUGACAUAUAAGGGUAAAUAUAACACAAUGAAUGUGGGUGGGUGAAUGUUAUUUAUUAUUUAUACAGUAUAUACCACAUAAAUGCAGCAGAUCCAGAAAUCUGAAAUGGCUCCCUAUUUAAUAUUGUUUUUUUUCCAGUGUCUUCAUAAUAAAAAAAAACGACACUGAUACCCAUCUUUUCAAAAACCUUGGUACUUUGUUUUCACUGGAAAAACUAUAAAUGAAUUAAGGACUGAGAAAACAAGUUCUAAAUGGUUUAAUGGAGAAAUUGUCAUCGAAAGGAAGGGAGCGCUCUGGAAGCCCACGAUGCAAAGAUAUACUCUUUGUCCAUCGAACUACAGGCUCAGCUGAAAAACAAUAACUAAACUGGCAAGAGAGAGACAGAAAAUUACAACAAAGGCAUAAAACUGCCUUUCAGUACUAUAACAGUUUAGGAACUGUGAAACUGAAGUAAAUGGUAACUGAAGCAAGCUGGAGAAAUGCAAACACAACAAACAUUCAUAAAACAGUGAACCAG